rnacentral:tRNA from 1 species
GGCGAGAUGGCCGAGCGGUCUAAGGCGCUGUCUUAAGGAGCUUCCACUCUGAAAUCGGCAGUCCGAAAGGGCGUGGGUUCGAAUCCCACUCUCGUCA